rnacentral:rRNA from 1 species
AGCGAACGCUGGCGGCAGGCCUAACACAUGCAAGUCGAACGAACUCUUCGGAGUUAGUGGCGGACGGGUGAGUAACACGUGGGAACGUGCCUUUUGGUUCGGAAUAACUCAGGGAAACUUGUGCUAAUACCGAAUGUGCCCUUCGGGGGAAAGAUUUAUCGCCAUUAGAGCGGCCCGCGUCUGAUUAGCUAGUUGGUGAGGUAACGGCUCACCAAGGCGACGAUCAGUAGCUGGUCUGAGAGGAUGACCAGCCACACUGGGACUGAGACACGGCCCAGACUCCUACGGGAGGCAGCAGUGGGGAAUCGUGCGCAAUGGGCGAAAGCCUGACGCAGCCAUGCCGCGUGAAUGAUGAAGGUCUUAGGAUUGUAAAAUUCUUUCAACGGGGACGAUAAUGACGGUACCCGGAGAAGAAGCCCCGGCUAACUUCGUG